rnacentral:rRNA from 1 species
GAUGAACGCUGGCGGCGUGCCUAAUACAUGCAAGUCGAGCGAAUGGAUUAAGAGCUUGCUCUUAUGAAGUUAGCGGCGGACGGGUGAGUAACACGUGGGUAACCUGCUCAUAAGACUGGGAUAACUCCGGGAAACCGGGGCUAAUACCGGAUAACAUUUUGAACCGCCUGCUUCGAAAGUGAAAGGCGGCUUCGGAUGUCACUUAUGGAUGGAUCGGGGUCGCAUUAGCUAGUUGGUGAGGUAACGGAUCACCAAGGCAACGAUGCGUAGCCGACCGGAGAGGGUGAUCGGCCACGCUGGGACUGAGACACGGCCCAGACUCCUACGGGAGGCAGCAGUAGGGAAUCUUCCGAAAUGGACGAAAGUCUGACGGAGCAACGCCGCGUGAGAGAUGAAGGCUUUCGGGUCGUAAAACUCUGUUGUUAGGGAAGAACAAGUGCUAGUUGAAUAAGCUGGCACCUUGACGGUACCUAACCAGAAAGCCACGGCUAACUACGUGCCAGCCGCCGCAGUAA